UACGAGGGGGGCCAGCGUUGUUCGGAAUUAUUGGGCGUAAAGGGCGCGUAGGCGGCGCCACAAGUCACUUGUGAAAACUCUGGGCUCAACUCAGAGCCUGCAAGCGAAACUGUGGUGCUGGAGUAUGGGAGAGGUGCGUGGAAUUCCCGGUGUAGCGUGGAAAGGCGUAGAUAUCGGGAGGAACACCGGUGGCGAAAGCGGCGCACUGGACCAUAACUGACGCUGAGGCGCGAAAGCUAGGGGAGCAAACAGG
rnacentral:rRNA from 1 species